UACAGAGGGUGCAAGCGUUAAUCGGAAUUACUGGGCGUAAAGCGUGCGUAGGUGGUUUACUAAGUCAGGUGUGAAAUCCCCGGGCUCAACCUGGGAACUGCAUUUGAUACUGGUUUACUAGAGUGUGGUAGAGGGUAGUGGAAUUCCCGGUGUAGCGGUGAAAUGCGUAGAUAUCGGGAGGAACAUCAGUGGCGAAGGCGGCUACCUGGACUAACACUGACACUGAGGUACGAAAGCGUGGGGAGCAAACAGG
rnacentral:rRNA from 1 species